GACGAACGCUGGCGGCGUGCUUAACACAUGCAAGUCGAACGGAAAGGCCCUGCUUUUGUGGGGUGCUCGAGUGGCGAACGGGUGAGUAACACGUGAGUAACCUGCCCUUGACUUUGGGAUAACUUCAGGAAACUGGGGCUAAUACCGGAUAGGAGCUCCUGCUGCAUGGUGGGGGUUGGAAAGUUUCGGCGGUUGGGGAUGGACUCGCGGCUUAUCAGCUUGUUGGUGGGGUAGUGGCUUACCAAGGCUUUGACGGGUAGCCGGCCUGAGAGGGUUACCGGCCACAUUGGGACUGAGAUACGGCCCAGACUCGUACGGGAGGCAGCAGGGGGGAAUAUUGCACAAUGGGCGGAAGCCUGAUGCAGCAACGCCGCGUGCGGGAUGACGGCUUUCGGGUUGUAAACCGCUUUCGCCUGUGACGAAGCGUGAGUGACGGUAAUGGGUAAAGAAGCACCGGCUAACUACGUG
rnacentral:rRNA from 1 species